AUACCUUUCUCGGCCUUUUGGCUAAGAUCAWGUGUAGUAUCUGUUCUUAUCAGUUUAAUAUCUGAUACGUGGGCCAUCAGCCCACAUGAUAUUAAAUUAAUUUUUCUUUGGAGAAGGCCCACUUCAGUAGCUUGCAGAAAUCGAGUUCUAAAUCUGGAAAAAAAAAACACCAAAAAGUGUUCAUGUUUUGUAUUUGCUCCAGUUUCUUUUGU
rnacentral:snRNA from 1 species